GAGCUUGGAGCGGCAGGCUUAACCGGCGCGGCUGAGAGGUGGGUUGCUGAUGGAGAGGCAGCUGCAACAGGGCAUCGCUCAUUAUCCAAGUACAUUCAUUUCUGAGCGCACAAGGAAGAACUUAAGCGGGCGGCAGUUGGAGUGUAAAUUGCUUUGUAGUAUUUUAAAGCAGCAUGGAUCAUGGGCAACUGAGCUGGAACACUGUUAUAUUUUUAAACCUCAUUCCUGGAAGCACUGCAGAUGUCAUAUCAGUUUACAAAGCCAAAGAGUACCUCUGGGAAUGGCAUGGCAGUAACUGAAAUAGUAUUUGGCCAAAUUAAGAGUGUAUGCCAAGGAUGCCAAAAAUCACAGUAACCUGGCAG